rnacentral:misc_RNA from 1 species
GAUGAAGAACGCAGCGAAAUGCGAUAAGUAAUGUGAAUUGCAGAAUUCAGUGAAUCAUCGAAUCUUUGAACGCACAUUGCGCCCGCCAGUAUUCUGGCGGGCAUGCCUGUUCGAGCGUCAUUUCAACCAUCAAGCCCCCGGCUUGUGUUGGGGACCUGCGGCUGCCGCAGGCCCUGAAAACCAGUGGCGGGCUCGCUGUCACACCGAGCGUAGUAGAUUUUCAUCUCGCUCAGGGCGUGCUGCGGGUUCCGGCCGUAAAAAGCCUUAUUUACCCAAGGUUGACCUCGGAUCAGGUAGGAAGACCCGCUAAACUUAAGCAUAUCAAUAAGCGGAGGA